rnacentral:rRNA from 1 species
GACGAACGCUGGCGGCGUGCCUAAUACAUGCAAGUCGAACGAAGCUGUUUUAACUGGUGCUUGCACCGACUUAAACAACUGAGUGGCGAACGGGUGAGUAACACGUGGGUAACCUGCCCCAAAGCGGGGGAUAACACUUGGAAACAGAUGCUAAUACCGCAUAACCACAGAAACCACAUGGUUUCUGUGUCAAAGAUGGUUUCGGCUAUCACUUUGGGAUGGACCCGCGGCGUAUUAGCUAGUUGGUAAGGUAAAGGCUUACCAAGGCAAUGAUACGUAGCCGAACUGAGAGGUUGAUCGGCCACAUUGGGACUGAGACACGGCCCAAACUCCUACAGGAGGCAGCAGUAGGGAAUCUUCCACAAUGGACGAAAGUCUGAUGGAGCAACGCCGCGUGAGUGAAGAAGGUUUUCGGAUCGUAAAACUCUGUUGUCAGAGAAGAACGUGUGCGAGAGUAACUGCUCGUGCAGUGACGGUAUCUGGCCAGAAAGCCACGGCUAACUACGUGCCAGCCGCCGCUGUAA